GACGAACGCUGGCGGCGCGCCUAACACAUGCAAGUCGAACGAGCGAGAGAGAGCUUGCUUCCUUGAGCGAGUGGCGAACGGGUGAGUAACGCGUGAGGAACCUGCCUCAAAGAGGGGGACAACAGUUGGAAACGACUGCUAAUACCGCAUAAGCCCACGGUGCCGCCUGGCACAGAGGGAAAAGGAGCAAUCCGCUUUGAGAUGGCCUCGCGUCCGAUUAGCUAGUUGGUGAGGUAACGGCCCACCAAGGCGACGAUCGGUAGCCGGACUGAGAGGUUGAACGGCCACAUUGGGACUGAGACACGGCCCAGACUCCUACGGGAGGCAGCAGUGGGGAAUAUUGCACAAUGGGGGAAACCCUGAUGCAGCGACGCCGCGUGGAGGAAGAAGGUCUUCGGAUUGUAAACUCCUGUUGUUGGGGAAGAUAAUGACGGUACCCAACAAGGAAGUGACGGCUAACUACGUG
rnacentral:rRNA from 1 species